rnacentral:rRNA from 1 species
AACGUAGGAGACGAACGUUAUCCGGAGUUACUGGGCGUAAAGGGCGUGCAGGCGGCUUGAUAAGUUCGGCGUGAAAUUUCCCGGCUUAACCGGGGGAUGUCGUCGGAGACUGUCGAGCUAGAGGGUGAUAGAGGCGUGUGGAAUUCCGGGUGUAGCGGUGAAAUGCGUAGAUAUCCGGAGGAACACCGAUGGCGAAGGCAGCUUCCUGGCCCACAACUGACGCUGAGGUGCGAAAGCGUGGGGAGCGAACGGG